rnacentral:rRNA from 1 species
UACGGAGGCAGCAGUGGGGAAUAUUGGACAAUGGGCGAAAGCCUGAUCCAGCCAUGCCGCAUGAGUGAAGAAGGCCUUCGGGUUGUAAAGCUCUUUUAGUGAGAAAGAUAAUGACGGUACUCACAGAAGAAGUCCUGGCUAACUCCGUGCCAGCAGCCGCGGUAAUACGGAGAGGGCUAGCGUUAUUCGGAAUUAUUGGGCGUAAAGAGCGCGUAGGCUGAUUAGUAAGUUAAAAGUGAAAUCCCAAAGCUUAACUUUGGAAUUGCUUUUUAAAACUGCUAGUCUAGAGAUUGAAAGAGGAUAGAGGAAUUCCUAGUGUAGAGGUGAAAUUCGUAAAUAUUAGGAGGAACACCAGUGGCGAAGGCGUCUAUCUGGUUCAAAUCUGACGCUGAGGCGCGAAGGGCGUGGGGAGCAAACAGGGAUUAGAUACC